rnacentral:lncRNA from 1 species
GCCGCAUAUCAAACACUGAACUCCAUCUUCUACAUUACAAACCCUAGACGAAGCGCCCCCCAUCUCCAUCUCCCUCAUCUCUCUCUCGCUCCUUCUCCGACGAAGCGCCCCCCUGCACCCUGUUACUCCAGCGACGAAAAUCAGAAGACGAGGAGAAAGUGAGACGGAACAGCAGAGCUGUUUACGGCGGCAGCGACGGCGUCCAUUUUCUGACGACCGUCCGCUGUUGACGAGGAUACGAUGAUGAGGAUGAUGUAAGUGGUGGUUCAAGGCAGUUGACGGGCUCGGGUUCAUUUCUGGGUCUCGGCUCGGGUUCGAUCAAGGCAGUCGACGGGUUCGGGUUCGGUUCUAGAUGCGUGUCGGGUCAGGUCGAUUUGGGUUCCCACUUCCGGUUGAGCUCCGGCGAGAUUGACGGCAGUGGAGGUGGAUCGGCUUAGUUCGACUGAACCCGGGACCAGUUCAGUCUUGGUUCGGCUCGGUCAACUUAAGUGUCAGUUUUGGUUUGCGGGUUUGUUUGUUCUCGGUUCAGUUCCAGGUUCACAACAUCGAUGAUACGAACACAUCGGGACUCGGGAUUAACGUCGGAGUUUAACGCGACAUCCUUUUGUUCGGAAUAUCAAUGACGCAUGGAAUCUAGUAGGAUUGCCUAGAAACGCAUUUGAACGUUAAAUACUUGUUGUAUUGUAUUUUAUUUCAUACAUGUUGUAAUUAGUUCCAAAACCAUUGUAUUAAACUGUUAUGAAAUGAAAUGAAAUUAUAUUUCUU